AGUUUGAUCCUGGCUCAGGAUAAAACGCUGGCGGCGCACAUAAGACAUGCAAGUCGAACGGAUUAACCAUUAGUUUACUAUUGGAGCGGUUAGUGGCGGACUGGUGAGUAACACGUAAGCAACCUGCCUAUCAGAGGGGAACAACAGUUAGAAAUGACUGCUAAUACCGCAUAUGCCAUGAAUAUCACAUGAUAUAAAUGGGAAAGGAGCAAUCCGCUGAUAGAUGGGCUUGCGUCUGAUUAGAUAGUUGGUGGGGUAACGGCCUACCAAGUCGACGAUCAGUAGCCGGACUGAGAGGUUGAACGGCCACAUUGGGACUGAGAUACGGCCCAGACUCCUACGGGAGGCAGCAGUCGGGAAUAUUGCGCAAUGGAGGAAACUCUGACGCAGUGACGCCGCGUGCAGGAAGAAGGUUUUCGGAUUGUAAACCGCUUUAGACAGGGAAGAUAAUGACAGUACCUGUAGAAUAAGCUCCGGCUAACUACGUG
rnacentral:rRNA from 1 species